rnacentral:misc_RNA from 1 species
UUUUUAGUUUCGAUAUUUCGUUACAUACUUUAACUAGUGUUUAAAAUGAGCCGCAAGGAGAGACGACAUGAUUCGUUUCUCUACCUCGCCAAAUAGUGCACAGAGUUAGAAGUGGAGGUCACGCUCUCCGAAGAGACGCGCUAUAUUCACUAAUGAUCCUUCCGCAGGUUCACCUACGGAAA